AUCAACGCUGGCGGCGUGCCUAACACAUGCAAGUCGAACGAGAAAGGAGGGGGCAACCCCUUGAGUAAAGUGGCGACCGGGUGAGUAACACGUGACUAACCUACCUUUCAGGUGGGGAAUAACCUCGGGAAACCGGGGCUAAUACCGCAUAACAUCCUGUGGUUGAGAUACCGUUGGAUCAAAGGAGCAAUUCGCUGAUAGAGGGGGUCGCGGCAGAUUAGCUAGUUGGCGGGGUAAUGGCCCACCAAGGCAUUGAUCUGUAGCCGGCCUGAGAGGGCGCACGGCCACACUGGAACUGAAACACGGUCCAGACUCCUACGGGAGGCAGCAGGUGGGGUAAUUUUGCGCAAGUGGGGGAAACUCUGACGCAGCAACGCCGCGUGGAGGAUGAAGGUCUUUGGAUUGUAAACUCCUUUCGAUCGGGACGAUAAUGACGGUACCGGGAAGAAGAAG
rnacentral:rRNA from 1 species